UAGAAAUGCGCCUCCUUC
rnacentral:piRNA from 1 species